CCCCCCCCUUUUCUUUCCUUUCCCCCCCUUUUCUUUCCUUUUUUCCCUUUUUCCCUCCUUUUCUCUCUUUCCCCCCUUUUCAUUUUUCCUUUUUUCCCCUAUUUUUUUUCCUUUUUAUUUUUAUUUUUUAAUCAUCAUUUUUUUCUUUUUGCAGUAGGAGUCUUUGCCUGCUUUUCUUUCUUGGUUCUGUACAAAGAAGCCUUGGAAGGUUAUCUGCUGCUAUCAGGAAUGCUACUCUUGGUCUUCCUCAGUUACCCAAACACGGAUUUCUGUGUUUUAAACUCUCAGUGGACGCUUUUUCCUUAUUAUAGCUAACGUAAAUCCAGGAGAUUGCAUAGAAGAGUUUCCUACAAAUCCCUUUCUUUCUCUUUGCGAUCCGGCAACCAGACAGCCUCCAGUAAUUCGUUGUAGGCCCCAUUCGAACCCUCCCUCCACUUUCGCCCGCGCUGCAGGAAAUGGACGCCUUGCUCCCCCUGCCUCGCGUGAGCAGUGGUACAGCCCGCCCACCUCUCGCGAGAGCAGUGGUGCGGACAGCCCCCCGCCGUAGGGUGGUACAUCCUGAGCCCUUAUAAGCGGCGGCCGCGAUUCUUCCCGCCCUUUCUCCUCGUGCGGCAGGUGUGGUUUGGUGUUAUGGUGGCUCUCGGUAGAGCUGCGGAGAGGGCCCCCAUCCCCCGGGCAGCGGUGGUGCACGCCGUGCCUCCUCGUCCCCCAAGGGCUAUAGGCCCGACCGCUCGAGGUGGCAGUUGAGGGAGAUGAAGGAGAGCUGGCCUCGCUCCUCCCGUCCCCGCAGGCCCUUAUGGAGACGGAUGGCGGUACCGCGCCCGGCCGGGAGUGCGCAGGCAGCGCUGGAACGGCCCUGCGGUCCGUCCUGAGAAGCUGGGAUUUGCAGAUGAUGUGAUACAAUAAGGACUGGGAGCAGGCAUCUGUCUGGAGAUGGCCAUAAUGUGAAGCCCUUCAGAAGGCCUUGGGACAGAAGUGAGACUGCAAGGGCAAGAGAUUGUUCUGGGUGUUGAUGCUGAAAGCACAUUUGUUUGAGGAAGAAGGAACCCAAUGGAACAUGAGUGAGCUUGGCAACUGACCUUUGUAAACGUCACCUGUUUUUCUGUGCGUAGACUUGUAAGAUAAGAGGAUGUUUACACUGUUCUGAUAUACAUUAAAGUUCUAAAAAACCCUUCAGUCUGCUUUUGUCACUCUUUGCAUAAAGGAAUGAUGCUUUAUUACCCAACACGUCUUUGUUCCACGUGCACUCUUCUGUGAUUUGCUGUAAUAUCAUACAGUAGAUGUGUACAUGGUACAGUGUAGUUUCUGCAGAGUGUAAACAGGCUUCAGUUGUAAGCAUUCUAUCUGGUGUUAGGUAGUCAAAGCAGUUCAAACAAGUAAUGCUAAGACUGUUACUGUUCUUACUGUAGAGAUUAGGCCCUAAUAUCCCAACAGCAAGAAAAGCAAGUAUUCAAAUUAGGGCAAAUGCAACUGUUUCUGUAGCUUGUUCAGGCUUGAAACUCAGCCUCAAAAUCUGAUGGAGACACUGCAGAAUCUGUUUCUGCAGCAGCAGCAUUUAUUCUAGCUAACUGUACAUGUCUUCUCUAAAUAGUGGUCCAAAUAUGAACUGAUAUUGAGAUGGGGAGAAAAAGAUCUUCUCUAGCUUGACAUCUGUCUUUGUUGUAGGUGCUAAAAGAAUAAAAAAGGCAGAUGUUGCUGACCAUUUUGCCCACUUGGUGUCACCAAGUGAAAGAUUUUAAUGUACUUCAGAGUAUAUGUAGAAAGAAGGUAAUGAUUAUUAAUUAACUGCAUGUGACCACAUGCUUAUGUGGUGGGAAUGGGAAUCUAAGGCUGUCAGCUCAAAGUAGAAUAUAUGUGGAUGUUGCUUUUGAAAGGGAUGAAAAUUCCAUCCUAUAUGGAAGUUCUUAGGAUGUGUGCCAGGAAGCAGCCCUUAAGCAAAGCUGGCAAAGCAGCUGUCAGUCAAAAAUUGUAGUUUAGAAGUAGCAAGGAGUUAGGAAUCACCUAGAAGCCAUUUUGUACGCUUCACUUCCC
rnacentral:lncRNA from 1 species